GCUUGCUUUCUUUGCUGGCGACCGGCGCACGGGUGAGUAACACGUAUCCAACCUACCCUUUACUCGGGGAUAGCCUUUCGAAAGAAAGAUUAAUACCCGAUAGCAUAAUGAUUCCGCAUGGUUUCAUUAUUAAAGGAUUCCGGUAAAGGAUGGGGAUGCGUUCCAUUAGGUUGUUGGNGGGGUAACGGCCCACCAAGCCUUCGAUGGAUAGGGGUUCUGAGAGGAAGGUCCCCCACAUUGGAACUGAGACACGGUCCAAACUCCUACGGGAGGCAGCAUG
rnacentral:rRNA from 1 species